CGCUGCCACCUGCCUAUCUGUCAUUUCUACAUACCAGACUAAUUGUACUCCAUCGGCCUCAGCUCUACUUUGGGUUUACAAAUAAGUGGCAAUAGUUAAAAUUAUGAACAUUAUUAAUAUUAACUGCUAAUCAUCAGCAUGCCGGCAAUGCCAGUGUUGCAUGCCAAGUAUUGCUGUGCUGACACGUGACUGGCUGUUCAACAGAAAGGAGGAUGGAUGGAAACUACAGUCUGGAAUGAUGCUCCUAUCAAGCUGUUAAUUCACGUUUCCACAACUGGCAUCACACUGCCGAAAAAAACAAGCUCAGACAGGUCGAUCAACACAAGCAAACAUCUCUGAUGUAUUGGGGUGUUGGAUUACUGAAACUCCAACAAAGUCUAAUAAAGAGAAGGAAUCUCACUGUGCCUGUUAUCAGAGGAGUGUGAUCUUUACUUUGAAGAAUCCUUUUCCUUAAAAGGAAGGGUAUGUCGUUUUCAAGUCACAAUUUACUGCAGUGGUCGUGGACUGUGUCCAUGUCGGAGCUUGUGCCAUUUUUUUUUUUUUUUUUUUUUUUUUUAAAUGGGGGGGUUGGAUGACUGACAUCUACAGUAAGCGACUAUAAAUUAUCACUACAUGCUGUUUUAUAUUGUCAAAAACAAAUAUAUUCCAGCAAGCUUUAAUACUGUGGUUUGGACCACAAAUAGCGAAUUGUUGGGUGAUAUUACCCGCACUGUUUAUUCCAGAGAGCAAUCCAUCCGACGUUUAGUGCUGCAAGCAUUACGCUCUUGAUGCUCUCCUCUCUUAAUACAAUGAAAUAAACAUGUAUUCCUACAGCCAAUGCAAUUUACAAGGAAGGCACAGCCUGUGGCUGAAGAGCAUAAGCGCUCAUCCUGCUGAUAGAGCCUGUGGUCAAUGGGAUGGAGAAGCAGCCGGCUCGGACAGUAAUUUGACUCAUUGUUUGUAUUGUAAGACUUGCUAUGGGAAAUGUCCACUCCCAGGCUUCUUCUCAGCCACUGGCCUUAAAUUCGCUGUUUGUCAGCGUUAGUCAUCCUCUCAGCCUCUUUCCCCUUACCCUCAUGCCUUCCCGCCUCCUCCACUAUCUUGCCAUGCCUGCUUUCUCCCCAGGCGACCCCCGAAGCCUCCUUGAUCCCAAACAAAGGUAGACCCCUUGAAUUGGCUUAAGGGGGGGGGGGGGACUGAGAAAAUGUAAUGUAUCGGUUUCUAUCUGCAGCCAGUGGGAACAAAUAUUGACAUGUAAUUCUUUUUCCUCUUUUUUUUUUUUUUUUUUUUUCUCCUGUCCGACCGUCUGCGGCCAAACCGAGAGCGGGAGGGAGAGCCGGUGUCACCGGGGAGACCGACAUGAAUGAUAUAUUUUUCGUUCGUUCUUUUCUCCCGCUUCUUCCCCUGCUCGCUCCUCGCUCCUCUCUGUGCCCUUUUCUUUAGCGAGCUGUUCGGCUGUGGCUCACGUCCUCUUUGUCGCUCCCCCCGGUGAGAAAGUGAAGCCCUUUCCAACAAGGUAAAUAACCAUUAGUGGGUGAGUGAGUGGGAAAGGCGAGGCAGAGAAUGAAACACACAGAGUGAGAAAGACAGUGGGGAAGAGAUGAAACUUGGAGAAGGUCAUUUGUUACUUUUUCAAUAUGCUAAAGCCCCCCCCACCCCCACCCGUUACACCUUUUAUUUGAUCCAAGUGUCUAUUUGACUUUGCUUAAAUUGUGUCUUGGCUCGAGUAAGAGAACUGGUGCCUUUUACAAUUUACGUCUUUUAAUAUAAGGGCACAAUGGCAGCUUCUCACGAGCCUGUAGGAUUUCUCAUUACAUGUCCUUAUUUGUCUUUGCCCGCACGGAGACAUACAGAAGGAUGAGGAGACAAAAAGACGCAGUGACAGGAAGAGAAGGUUCCAUUUGUUUAUUCAAGCACAAUAUCCUAUUGCAGGAGGCAAAAAGUCUAUUGGCGGUGAUGCAACAUUUCUGAGGGCCCGACUGGCUCAUCUGCUCUGCCUAUCGCGCAUUGGACACAUAUUAUUGAUCACAGAUGCGACUUGUUGCCUUGGUUGCUUCGACUCGGUUUGCCCCGUGUCCUCCCGUCUGCCCGUCUUCCUCUGCGUGUCCGCGUCUUCAUCUUCGCUUCUUCCCCCCGCCAUCCUUCUGUCCAUCCCAAGCGCCCCACUUCUCAUCUUCCUCCAUCUGCCACCCCUCUCUGCGUGCCUCUUCUGCCACCAUCCCUCUAACGCCAUCUCUUUGUCUACGGCAGCCCGCGCUCCUUUCAGACAGGCCUCUGUCCUCCGCCGUCUCUUUGAGGGCCCUUUGGAGACACUUGUAGACGAGGCCGGGGCUCAUACACUUGGAGGUUACGGAGGAAAAACAUUGAAUCGGGUUCGGGGCUCGUCCAAGUGUUUACUCGGCAUCAGAGCAUCCUUGCUGGUUUGCGGAUUUCAUGAAUAAUUGAUUAAAUAAUGGAAAAUGUAAUGAGGAAGAUGUUUUAAAAUUCAAAUUCAAAUCAAACAACUAGCCGUGGCAUCCGCCCGCGCUUUAAUAAGCAGAUAUCUGGGUGUUGGUUGCAGGACGGGGCUGUGUGUCUACUAUGUUCAUUGAGGCACAGAGGGAGGAGAUUGAUUCAAGCAUGCGUUUUGGGGAGUUGCAUGCAAACAGGUGAGUUUGUGUGCACAAAACUUCAAGUUCAAGAAAGUCAACCGUGACAUUUGAGUCCGCGUUACGUUCGGGAAAUGUUGAAAUUCCCCUUGUGAAAGUAUUUAAAGAGGAAAAACUACCGGCAAUAUAGAGGAUACCUUUGGACUGGAGCUGCUUAUGUUGCUGCACACAAGAUUAGACUCAAUGUAUGAGAUUAAUUGUACAGAGUUGCAUCCUGAGAUACAAACUGCCCCCCACACACUCGUUUGUAUUUCAUUGCCUCUUCGAAAGGAUGAUUGAGGGUCGAUUGCUCGUUGUGAUUAGAGUUUUGAGUCAGUGGCCGACAUCGACUGUUGGGUUUAAAGAUGGAGGCGGGGAAUUCAAGGGGUUUUCAGCGUCCGUCCUGACAUAGAUAUCGCUCAGUUUACAUUUUCUUCCCUUUCUCUCUCAGGCGCAAACAUAGCAAGCGACUCAGUACUUGUUGUCGCCUUCUCGCUUCUUUUCUGUAAUAAGUUUUCCAUUCAAAAGUCAAAAAGGUCAAAACAUGUAGUUAAUCAAACAAAUUAACCUACUUUGAUUCACACUUUUUAUUGCAUUUAAAAAUGUAGAUAAGAGUUAAUCAGACGUAACCAUGAAUUAUUAUGAUCAUAAGAUUUUUUCGAUUAUGCCACAACAACGUGGUGAAGCAAAGGCAAAGCGAGGGCACAUGAUGCAUGUGUAUUUCGCAGCGGGGGGGGGGGGGUCUACAGAUGUCUGUUUGGUACAGAGCCCCCCCCCCUCCCUGGUACGUCUUGCGUAUGUGUGCUCUCCGGUGCCAGCGUGUACCAUGCAUGUCCGUUAAUGUCACGCCCCAGCGGCGGUGAGCGUGUGACAUGACGGAUCGGACGCUGGUGUCCCGAGGACAAGGAGCCGCAUUGUGACGCCGCGCCCCGCAUGGGAAGUGCAUGUCACAUCCGUGUUCACUUGGUCUCUGCAGCGCCAUCCUUCGCUCUGCUGCACCGCUUCUUUCAUUUAAGGUCCACACUCUUUUUCCACUUACUUUUUUCUGCUGGUGCCCACCCCUCCCCCUUCCUCUGUCCCUCUCAGUUGCUUUUCCUUUCCAUCACUCACUCCAUAAUUUCACCUCUGCUCUUCAUCUCUCCCCGUCUCUCUCUCUUACUCUCUCUCCCACACUGCCAUGGCACAAUGCAGGGAUCAUUAGUGACUUAAUGGAGGUAGACAUUUUCUGCAGGGGGGCAAUAACAAUGGCAAUGAGAGGUAUCCACCACUCCUCUCCUCUGAUUCCUCCCAUCUUGUUGACUCUCGGCUUCCUCGCCCUUGCUCCUCUGCAGUGACAGUGACAGCUCGGUGUGAGAGUGGUCCUCUUGUCUCAUUUAUACUGAUAUUGGAGUAGUGUGUAUGUGUGUGUGUGUAUGUGUGUGUCGGGGUGUGACACAUCGGCAAGAACAAACGCAGGUGGGAUGCUUACACACGCGGGUACGUUUGUUCACGGCUGCGUGUGCGAGUGUGUGCGUGCGUGCAUGUACUUCUACUGAGUAACUCUCUGCCAGUUUAUUUGGGGUGUUUUUGUCGCAUGGAAAGGGAUAGAAAAAUGGUAAUUCAGUGACAGGGGAAAAUAAAUGAGAAAAUCCCACCCAUUCCUAUAUGCACACAUGCAAAGUCUCGCUUCGCCAAAAAUAGAGACUCAUGCUUUAACUGUCACUGAUUGGUAGAGGAGCUAUAAGAAGUUUAUUAAGAGUCAUCUAAUAAAAACCUGAAAGUAAUGAAGGAUUUACGUGAUACUUUUUUUUUAGAGAAUAUAGAUUGUAUUAAACAAAUAUAGAAUGUAUUAUACAGUAGUAGCACUCUUCCAACCCUAGUCAGUUUACAAAGCUUAUAAGAGGUGAAACAACUCUCAACUCCCCUUAAUAUAAAUAACCAUAUGUCAUGCUAAAUCAACUGCAAUGCCUUUAAUAGCUGUAGAGUGAUACGUGCAUGGCACUAAUGUCCAAUUGGCAGAAAUAAAUUACAGCAGCCCUUAUUGAUUUGGCUUUGACCCCUUGUAUCCAUCAUCACAGUGUUGUGCACACAUCUCAUUGCUGAAUAGCUGGACUCAAAUGCCAGCUCCACAUCGAGCACAUCCCGUACGGAAGGUCUCAGCCUGUUGGAUGCAUAGCGGUCACCGUUCAGAGGGGCCGGCACUCGAUGUUUGGUAGUUUCCCUUUAAGUUGAUACCCAUCAGAAUAUACACUCAUAUAAAAGUAAUUCCUUCACUGAAUGUGCGCAUUUAUAUACGCCAUAUAUGCCGGGCGGCAAGUCGCCUGCUUUUGUCACUACGUUUUCACUGUAUAGGUCAAGCUCGUGAAUAUGAAUGAGGUCUGCUCUGCUUUGAGUUUGCUACAGUCCAUCUGUAGGAUUCACAGAGGAGCAUGUGUGUUGCCAUGCGCACACAAACACACACAUCAUGCAGAUUUACUGACUUGGCCCACAUAUCUAUACGUCACACACACACGCUGGCACGGUAUGUAUUGCCUGACAACUCAUCGCUUUAUUUACCCAGCGUUGUGCCGCGAGUCCCUCCACGCCUCUCUCUCUCCAUCCAUUCUUUUUCUUCCCCUCCUUUAAUACAAGCGUAGCCCACAGUUACCUCCUCCCCUAUCACCGCCUGCUGCCACAAAUCACAGUGAAAAAAGAGAGCGAGGGAAGCGGUGAAAAAGAGGAACAGAAAACAUUAAAGGGAGGGGAGGCAUUAGCGGGGGUCUCGCUUUCUCUCCCUCCAACAAAAGACCAGUGGGCAUCCAUCUCGGGCCUAUCUGUUGACACAGGGCCACGGAAUGAGCAGCCAGCUGGCUGGAUCAACACGGAUGAAAAAUAGUAGUCACACAGCAACAACAACAACAACAACAACGACGAGUGCAGCGACAACUGCAACAACACGCGCUCCGACGAGGAAAACGAGCACAAACAAGCCGUCUCCCGGCAGGGAAAAGACGAAGACAGAAGCAAAGACCAUGCAGCCUCAAAAGCACGCAACAGGUUGCAAUGACAACCUGCUGCAACGGCGACGAGCUCUGCUUCGUCCGGGACAUUGGCUGUAACCACUAGCUACACAGCAGCAGGACAACACCCCGACCUCCACCACGACCACCUGAAAUUGUCUGCUACAGCUAUGAUUAUGCUCGCAACCACUUCUACAGCAGCUUUUCUCGGCCCUCCUCACUUUUCGACUUCUCCAUCCCUCCAUCUCAAUCUCCCUCGUACAUUUUGCAGCCAUCUGCAAACCCUGAAUCUGAAAUUCGUGCACGGCGGGCAAACAGCACCCCCGUCACUCCUCCGACACACCCCCCGCUCAUCUUCCCCUCUCCAGCUUGCCUCUUUCCCUCGUUCCUCGCAGCCAUCAAGCACAGCAAUCAGCCGAGAGGGAGGGAGGGUGCAGGGAGCAUGAAGGGGAGGAGAGAGGGAGGAAUAUUAAGGACAUUGUUGGUAGAGUGCAGGGGCUUGACAUUUAAGGCUAAGGCCGACUGGACUUCAUGGGCAAUGACUCGACUCAUUCUAGAUACGAGGGUCACGCCUCAUUGAUUAUUAACGUAAUAAUCUGAAACAUUUCUAAAGUAUCAAGGUUUGUAGUUGAUGGAAAAUUCUCUGUAGUUGUUGUUCGGUGGAAAAUGAAAAUGCCUGGUGAGGUGUGACUUCAAAUUCAAGAUUGUGUUAAUUAAACCAAAUUGUCAUCUCAGCAGUUAGGAUAUGAAAGCAUCGAGGACGCAGUUGAUGGAGGAAGAUAUGCUUUUCACUCCUAUCAGCUGCGAUUAGAUUUUUUUAGUAUUCGCCAGUUUAAUUGCAAGGAGAGAAAAUAUGUUGUUUUGGAAGGAAAUAAAAACUGACAGAAAACGCAUCUCAAAAUUGUUCUUUACAAAUACAGCAACUAGUUUAAAAAAAUAAAAACGUCAAGUUGGGGAAAUUAUUAAAAAGUUACUACUCAAAUAAUUGAAUUUGGUAAUGGACCUGUUGAAGACCUUGUUCUUCAAAACUGCAUUAGUAAACUCUUCCUGUGACACCAAAACCAUAAACUGAAAGACAAAGGCAAACCGCAAAGGCGGGUGAUUAUUCCCAUUCAUAACGGGAAAGGCCUCUGUUAAAUUAUACUCAGGUUUUACAUUCCUGGUAAUAUGAGAAACGUGAGUGGUGCAACUUUAAAAAAAUGCAUUCUUCCGAAAUGCGGAUUAGCUUCCCUCAUACCCCCACGUUUUCUCCCAACUCACUGCGGUUUUAAAUCUCCACUACGUUUGACCUCCAAACAUCAACAAUGAUUUCAAGGACUUCCACUUCAGAAAUACUGCCUUGAACAAUGCACUCUACAUAAUGGCUGCCUGGCUAUGCUGUAUUUGUGUAGCCAUCACUAUACCGUGCAAUGACAAAAUCAGCAAAACCAAGCUGGGGUCCAAAUGAAAGUACCGUGUGUUUUCGAAGGCUUGGCAUAUAAAACCGGUUGUGAAAGACCAGUUGAAGCCUCGACAGCAGGAAAAGCUUCAAAAUGGGAAAGAUACCAAUUUUUAAAAAGGGAUGCUUCUCAAAGUGCUUCAACAUGAUUUAGAAUAUCACAAGAGAAAUUACCACCACACAAUGACUGUAAACAACAAUUUAUGAACUAUAAUCUUAACAUUUCUCAAUCUUGAGAAAUAUUAAUAUCACCAAAAUUUUGCAAAUAUAUGUUUGUGUGAGGGACGUGGAGAUUUCAAUAUUCAAUCAAUAUUUACUUUCAUGAAUAUCACUGUUUGACAACUGUAUUGAUAAAUUCACAAUUUAACCAAAUGUGAAAUAUCACCACCAUCUCCCCAUCUAAUCUUAUAUUAUGGUAUUGAACACUGGCCGCAGGGGUGAGAGUGGAAUUGACCUUUGAUUCCCAUGAAAUUAUACAUAA
ensembl:lncRNA